rnacentral:rRNA from 1 species
GACGAACGCUGGCGGCGUGCUUAACACAUGCAAGUCGAACGGAAAGGCCCUGCUUUUGUGGGGUGCUCGAGUGGCGAACGGGUGAGUAACACGUGAGUAACCUGCCCUUGACUUUGGGAUAACUUCAGGAAACUGGGGCUAAUACCGGAUAGGAGCUCCUGCUGCAUGGUGGGGGUUGGAAAGUUUCGGCGGUUGGGGAUGGACUCGCGGCUUAUCAGCUUGUUGGUGGGGUAGUGGCUUACCAAGGCUUUGACGGGUAGCCGGCCUGAGAGGGUGACCGGCCACAUUGGGACUGAGAUACGGCCCAGACUCCUACGGGAGGCAGCAGUGGGGAAUAUUGCACAAUGGGCGGAAGCCUGAUGCAGCAACGCCGCGUGCGGGAUGACGACCUUCGGGUUGUAAACCGCUUUCGCCUGUGACGAAGUGUGAGUGACGGUAAUGGGUAAAGAAGCACCGGCUAACUACGUG